rnacentral:rRNA from 1 species
AACGAACGCCGGCGGCAGGCUUAACACAUGCAAGUCGAGCGCCCCGCAAGGGGAGCGGCAGACGGGUGAGUAACACGUGGGAACGUACCCUUUUCUACGGAAUAACCCAGGGAAACUUGGACUAAUACCGUAUACGCCCUUCGGGGGAAAGAUUUAUCGGAGAAGGAUCGGCCCGCGUUGGAUUAGCUAGUUGGUGGGGUAAAGGCCUACCAAGGCGACGAUCCAUAGCUGGUCUGAGAGGAUGAUCAGCCACACUGGGACUGAGACACGGCCCAGACUCCUACGGGAGGCAGCAGUGGGGAAUAUUGGACAAUGGGCGCAAGCCUGAUCCAGCCAUGCCGCGUGAGUGAUGAAGGCCCUAGGGUUGUAAAGCUCUUUCACCGGUGAAGAUAAUGACGGUAACCGGAGAAGAAGCCCCGGCUAACUGCGUGCCAGCAGCCGCCGUAACAC